rnacentral:rRNA from 1 species
CAUGCAAGUCGAACGAUGAACCGCUUUCGGGCGGGGAUUAGUGGCGAACGGGUGAGUAACACGUGGGCAAUCUGCCCUGCACUCUGGGACAAGCCCUGGAAACGGGGUCUAAUACCGGAUAUGACUGUCCAUCGCAUGGUGGAUGGUGUAAAGCUCCGGCGGUGCAGGAUGAGCCCGCGGCCUAUCAGCUUGUUGGUGAGGUAGUGGCUCACCAAGGCGACGACGGGUAGCCGGCCUGAGAGGGCGACCGGCCACACUGGGACUGAGACACGGCCCAGACUCCUACGGGAGGCAGCAGUGGGGAAUAUUGCACAAUGGGCGAAAGCCUGAUGCAGCGACGCCGCGUGAGGGAUGACGGCCUUCGGGUUGUAAACCUCUUUCAGCAGGGAAGAAGCGAAAGUGACGGUACCUGCAGAAGAAGCGCCGGCUAACUACGUGCCAGCAGCCGCGGUAAUACGUAGGGCGCAAGCGUUGUCCGGAAUUAUUGGGCGUAAAGAGCUCGUAGGCGGCUUGUCACGUCGGUUGUGAAAGCCCGGGGCUUAACCCCGGGUCUGCAGUCGAUACGGGCAGGCUAGAGUUCGGUAGGGGAGAUCGGAAUUCCUGGUGUAGCGGUGAAA